AGUGAACGCUGGCGGUAGGCCUAACACAUGCAAGUCGAACGGCAGCACAGGAGAGCUUGCUCUCUGGGUGGCGAGUGGCGGACGGGUGAGGAAUACAUCGGAAUCUACUCUGUCGUGGGGGAUAACGUAGGGAAACUUACGCUAAUACCGCAUACGACCUACGGGUGAAAGCAGGGGACCUUCGGGCCUUGCGCGAUUGAAUGAGCCGAUGUCGGAUUAGCUAGUUGGCGGGGUAAAGGCCCACCAAGGCGACGAUCCGUAGCUGGUCUGAGGGGAUAAUCAGACACACUGGAACUGAGACACGGUCCAGACUCCUAAGGGAGGUAGCGGUGGGGAAUAUUGGACAAUGGGCGCAAGCCUGAUCCAGCCAUACCGCGUGGGUGAAGAAGGCCUUCGGGUUGUAAAGCCCUUUUGUUGGGAAAGAAAUCCAGCUGGCUAACACCCGGUUGGGAUGACGGUACCCAAAGAAUAAGCACCGGCUAACUUCGUGCCAGCCGCCGCGGUAA
rnacentral:rRNA from 1 species